GCUUCCGUAGCUCAGUGGUCUAGAGCGUCCGCCUGUCGAGCGGAGGGGCGUCGGUUCGAAUCCGAUCGGGAGCG
rnacentral:tRNA from 1 species